rnacentral:rRNA from 1 species
UACAGAGAUCUCAACCGUUGUUCGGAUUCAUUGGGCGUAAAGGGUGCGUAGGCGGUCGCGCAAGUCGGAUGUGAAAUCUCAGGGCUCAACCCUGAAACUGCAUUCGAUACUGCGUGGCUAGAGUGCUGGAGGGGAGACUGGAAUUUACGGUGUAGCAGUGAAAUGCGUAGAUAUCGUAAGGAAGACCAGUGGCGAAGGCGAGUCUCUGGACAGCAACUGACGCUGAGGCACGAAGGCCAGGGGAGCAAACGGG